AUGAAUGGCUGUGUCCUACACAACCCUAGUAGAUGGUGCCAUUCACAUAGACUAUAAUUGAAUGGCGCCACUAGGGUUGUGCAGUGCACAGCCUAUAC
rnacentral:pre_miRNA from 2 species